rnacentral:sRNA from 2 species
UUGACAGCUUUGGAAAUGGAUGGCUUCUUUUUCUCCCAAGAAUAGAUGCAGCCUGAUAAACAGAAAUGUAAGAGUGCCCCAACUGCUUCACCAAUAUGCCUUCUCCCUGACAAAGUAAUGGCUGCAAGAAAGAAAGAACAAGUCACCUUUUCCAGCCAGUUCUCUGCUGACACUGCU